UUUUUGCUUGAAUCUUUGAUGUGGAACAGGUUCUUCAAAACGAUAUCGAUCUGCUUAACCCACCUGCUGAGCUUGAGAAGAGGAAGCACAAGCUCAAGCGUCUUGUUCAGUCUCCCAAUUCCUUCUUCAUGGUAAUGAAAAUUUGAAACCUUUCUCUUUGUUAGAUUUGUAUGUAAGUAUGGAGUUUGUGAAUUUGAUUUUCUCAUCAUCCCUAGGUUUGAGAAUCUGUUAUGUGAUCACUAUUUUAACUUAGUUUUAUUAGGCUUAUCUAGCCGUCUUUGUACUCUACUUGUAGUUUUUGUUGUUGAACCUUUGGCAAUGAGGUGAUUAUAUUGAAACACUUUGUUGCUACAGAAUCACUUAAAACCAUAUCUUUCUGGUUGACUCUGAUUGUUGUUUCUUUUGUUGUUUAUCUUAAUACUGUAGGA
rnacentral:lncRNA from 1 species